UCCCUGAAGGACCUGGCUUCUUUUUUAGUCCUCUAAAAAAUCCCUGAGUUUCUCCUUUCAUCUGGAGCCUCCUUGGAUGCUAUAGAUCUGUCAUCUCACCUAAUCUACAAAAGCUUCACAAAUUUUCAAGUAACCAUUAUAAGGCUUGAGGAAUGCUCUACUGAAGGAAAAUUAUGAGAGCACUAGGAUUACUCUGCUCUCAGGAGGCUCAACACAUUUUCCUGGGUUACAUCAGCACAGCCAGAAGAGCUCUUCCAUCUUUGCUACGCACGGUUCUAAUUCAGAUUUGGAAACAGGUUACUACUUUCAUAA